GGGAGGAAAGGUAUUGAGAGAGCAACAGGGAGGAAAGGUAUUGAGAGAGCAACAGGGAGGAAAGGUAUUGAGAGAGCAACAGGGAGGAAAGGUAUUGAGAGAGCAACAGGGAGGAAAGGUAUUGAGAGCAACAGGGAGGAAAGGUAUGGAGAGCAACAGGGAGGGAAGGUAUGGAGAGAGCAACAGAGAGAAGGUAUUGAGAGAGCAACAGGGAGGAAAGGUAUUGAGAGAGCAACAGGGAGGAAAGGUAUUGAGAGAGCAACAGGGAGGAAAGGUAUUGAGAGAGCAGGUAUGGAGAGAGCAACAGAGAGAGAAGGUAUUGAGAGAGCAACAGGGAGGAAAGGUAUUGAGAGAGCAACAGGGAGGAAAGGUAUUGAGAGCAACAGGGAGGGAAGGUAUUGAGAGCAACAGGGAGGAAAAGUAUGGAGAGCAACAGGGAGGAAAGGUAUGGAGAGAGCAACAAAUAAGGUAUUGAGAGAGCAACAGGGAGGGAAGGUAUGGAGAGAGCAACAGAGAGAAGGUAUUGAGAGAGCAACAGAGAGAAGGUAUUGAGAGAGCAACAGGGAGGAGGUAUUGAGAGAGCAACAGGGAGGAAAG